AUUGAACGCUGGCGGCAUGCUUUACACAUGCAAGUCGAACGGUAACAGGCCUUCGGGUGCUGACGAGUGGCGAACGGGUGAGUAAUGCAUCGGAACGUACCCAGAGGUGGGGGAUAACGCAGCGAAAGCUGUGCUAAUACCGCAUGUGAUCUGAGGAUGAAAGCGGGGGACCGAGCAGCAAUGUUUGGCCUCGCGCCUUUGGAGCGGCCGAUGUCGGAUUAGCUAGUUGGUGGGGUAAAGGCCUACCAAGGCGACGAUCCGUAGCUGGUCUGAGAGGACGACCAGCCAUACUGGGACUGAGACACGGCCCAGACUCCUACGGGAGGCAGCAGUGGGGAAUUUUGGACAAUGGGCGCAAGCCUGAUCCAGCAAUGCCGCGUGCGGGAAGAAGGCCUUCGGGUUGUAAACCGCUUUUGGCAGGAACGAAACGGUGUCCGCUAAUACCGGGCGCUAAUGACGGUACCUGCAGAAUAAGCACCGGCUAACUGCGUG
rnacentral:rRNA from 1 species